rnacentral:rRNA from 1 species
GACGAACGCUGGCGGCGUGCUUAACACAUGCAAGUCGAACGGUGAAGCGCCUUCCUUUUUGGUGGGUGUGGAUGAGUGGCGAACGGGUGAGUAACACGUGAGUAACCUGCCCCCUUCUUCUGGAUAACCGCAUGAAAGUGUGGCUAAUACGGGAUAUUCUGGGUCUGUCGCAUGAUGGGUCUGGGAAAGAUAUUGUUUCGGUGGGGGAUGGGCUCGCGGCCUAUCAGCUUGUUGGUGGGGUGAUGGCCUACCAAGGCGGUGACGGGUAGCCGGCCUGAGAGGGUGGACGGUCACACGGGGACGGAGACACGGCCCAGACUCCUACGGGAGGCAGCAGGGGGGAAUAUUGCACAAUGGGCGCAAGCCUGAUGCAGCGACGCCGCGUGAGGGAUGGAGGCCUUCGGGUUGUGAACCUCUUUCGCCAGUGAAGCAGGCCUGCCUCGUUUGUGGGUGGGUUGACGGUAGCUGGAUAAGAAGCGCCGGCUAACUACGUG